rnacentral:tRNA from 1 species
GGAGAGGUGUCCGAGUGGUUUAAGGAGCUAGUCUUGAAACUAGUGAUUCGCAAGAACCGUGGGUUCGAAUCCCACCCUCUCCGCCA